CACGCUGUAAACGAUGUCGAUUUGGAGUUUGUGCCAUUAUGAGCGUGGGUUCCGAAGCUAACGCGAUAAAUCGACCGCCUGGGGAGUACGGCCGCAAGGUUAAAACUCAAAUGAAUUGACGGGGGCCCGCACAAGCGGUGGAGCAUGUGGUUUAAUUCGAUGCAACGCGAAGAACCUUACCUGGCCUUGACAUGCUGAGAAGUCUGCAGAGAUGCGGAUGUGCCUUCGGGAACUCAGACACAGGUGC
rnacentral:rRNA from 1 species